AACGCGAAGAACCUUACCUGGGCUUGAAAGUUAGUGACCGGUCCUGAAAGGGAUCUUUCCGAAAGGACACGAAACUAGGUGCUGCAUGGCUGUCGUCAGCUCGUGCCGUGAGGUGUUGGGUUAAGUCCUGUAACGAGCGCAACCCCUACCAUUAGUUGCCAGCGGGUAAUGCCGGGGACUCUAAUGGAACUGCCUGCGUAAGCAGAGAGGAAGGUGGGGAUGACGUCAAGUCAUCACGGCCCUUACGUCCAGGGCUACACACGUGCUACAAUGGUCGAUACAACGGGUUGCUACCUGGUAACAGGAUGCUAAUCUCUAAAAUCGACCUCAGUUCGGAUAGAGGUCUGCAAUUCGACCUCUUGAAGUUGGAUUCGCUAGUAAUCGCGCAUCAGCAAUGGCGCGGUGAAUACGUUCCCGGGCCUUGUA
rnacentral:rRNA from 1 species